GUGGGGAAUAUUGGACAAUGGGCGAAAGCCUGAUCCAGCCAUGCCGCGUGUGUGAAGAAGGUCUUCGGAUUGUAAAGCACUUUAAGUUGGGAGGAAGGGUAGUAACCUAAUACGUUGCUAUUUUGACGUUACCGACAGAAUAAGCACCGGCUAACUUCGUGCCAGCAGCCGCGGUAAUACGAAGGGUGCAAGCGUUAAUCGGAAUUACUGGGCGUAAAGCGCGCGUAGGUGGUUCAGUAAGUUGGAAGUGAAAUCCCCGGGCUCAACCUGGGAACUGCUUUCAAAACUGCUGAGCUAGAGUACGGUAGAGGGUGGUGGAAUUUCCUGUGUAGCGGUGAAAUGCGUAGAUAUAGGAAGGAACACCAGUGGCGAAGGCGACCACCUGGACUGAUACUGACACUGAGGUGCGAAAGCGUGGGGAGCAAACAGGAUUAGAUACCCCAGUAGUCC
rnacentral:rRNA from 1 species